GACGAAGGGGGCUAGCGUUGUUCGGAAUUACUGGGCGUAAAGCGCGUGUAGGCGGUUGUUCAAGUCAGGUGUGAAAGCCUUGAGCUCAACUCAAGAAAUGCACUUGAUACUGGAUGACUAGAGGACCGGAGAGGAAAGUGGAAUUCCCAGUGUAGUGGUGAAAUACGUAGAGAUUGGGAAGAACACCAGUGGCGAAGGCGGCUAUCUGGACGGUUUCUGACGCUAAGACGCGAAAGCGUGGGGAGCAAACAGG
rnacentral:rRNA from 1 species